GGUGAAUUCUUUUAUGACACCAUGUGAGGGCAAGGAGCUGUACCCCUGGAGUGGAGCCUGGCAUAGGCACUCCCAGACAUCAGAUGGCAAGCAAAACCAUCCUGGCUCUGUUCUGGAAGAGCAUCUCCUUCCUUUUUCAAGAGGCGGGGGGUGGGGUGGGGGGAGGCGGGGAGGGGGAUGAGAAAGGACCACAGCCAGCUUUUCUUACUAAUGAGGCCUAAACCAGGCCAGCGUGGGAACAACUUGGCGGAUCCGAGAGGCAGCUUGGAGAACUGGGAAAAGCUCUGGCCUGGGAAGGGAGAGCUGCAAUCCCAGCUCCCCACCCCGCACCCCCCACGCCGUGUGGCCUUGAAGUGAGUCACGGCCUCUCAAGUGACACGGCUCUUAUCUCCGAAAGAAGGAGGUGAGAUGUGAGGUCUCUCAGACCCUUUUCCAGCUCUGAGAUUCUCUAGUGUUGCAGCCAUCUCUUUAAAGAUGAGAAGCAGAGAUGCUGAGCUGAAACAGAUGUGGAGGAUAAAGCCAAGAUAAUCAGCCCAGUGGUUUCUCUCUCUCUAGUGCCCUGCGUCAGCAAGGGCCUGGGUGAAUUCUGGCAUUUCUUCCUUGCGAUAGGUAAUCGAGGCAACAUCUGAGGGCCCGAACUUCCGGAGGAGAGGCUGAUCAGUCAGUUUUUUGCCCUCAACCCUUCGUCUCUCCUAACCAGCCUGUAUGUGUGAUGUGGCCUUUCUGAGUCCACCAGCCUGUGUGUGUGACGUGGACAUUCUGGGUCCAGUGCGGCUCCCGGGCUGACUUCCGGCAUGGACGGUUUCCUGAGCAUGAUUACUUUGCUGACAGCCCUUCUUCCUCCUGUCCUUCCUACAGUCAGCUGGAGUGUGGGGACGCCCAUCCCCUCAAGAAGUAUUCUUUAUGUGUCUCCCCAGUGCCUGGCUUCGAAAUCAAAGGGAUCUGGGCCACAUGCGUUAGACGGAAUUCCCAUGAGUCUCCAGAGUGUGAGAUACGACCAGGCUUCCUGGCCCCCGAGGGGCUCACCAGGCAGUCAGAGAGUUCAGAAGGUGACCCAGGAUCCACCGGGCAAAGUGACAGGCGGGCCACAAGGGCUCUGGGUGGCUGGCAGGAGUUAAGGCCUCAGACACACGUGACAACUUUAACCAGCCCGCCGCAGCCCUAAAGGGUUAGAUUUCAUUUUAAAGGAACCGCCUGCCCAUUUCCAUCCUGCACCUGGUUUGUCUCCCUCCUCACCUGAUCCCAUUCUGUAAUUACACGCUCACACGUUUCUUCUCUCAACCUGCCUCUAGAAAGCAACUGGAGAGGGGAGGGCUGCGGCCGCCUUCUCCACCACCUUAACGCGCGCGCCGAGGCCUGUGAGCAGUGGCUUAGUGCCCUUCGCCGGAGCCCGGGGCGCGGAGCAUCCGGGCCUGGAACGCGGACGUGCGUGGGAGGGACGUGAACUGUGGCUGCAGCCCUGCGGAAAAGAAUCGGUCUUUGUCCUCAUGUUCGCGUGCACCUGUCGUCCCAAGCCCUUGACAAACACUGUGUCAUUCACCUUGCCAACCUGGGGGCGGGGCGGGGCGGGGGCACGCGGGAGCCCAGGGAGCCGCAUUCCGCGCAUUCCAGCCCCCUGACAGCUCCUGGUACCGCGGCUGUGAGCCCGGGGUGUCCAAAAAUUCCAGCUGACUCAUCCGUGGGUGAGCGAGGCCAACGCGAGGGGACGGGUGGAAUCUCCUGGGGUCUGCCUCCGACCAGGCCCCCCCAGUUCAGAAGGGAAAGUGGGGCGGGGGUGGGAAGGGGCGAUGGCCCGGAUUCAAGCUUUUUUUUUUGGCUUAAGGGAUGCUCAGGUAUCCCUCGAGGCGCCAGGAAAUAGUGAAACAGGUGCAGCGCGACGUCGUGGCCGGGAACUUGGGCCGGGACCUCGGCUACCUCAGCAUUUGAGUUCUGGCUCCAUCGUUAUCAUUUUGGAAGACCUCAUGAAACCUCUCUGGGUCUCAGCGUCCUGGAGUGGGAAUGCGGUGGGAGAGGGAAGGCAGUACUGGUUCCACCUCCACCAAGCGGUGGUGAAGAUGAAGCAAGAAUGUGGGUAAGACGCUGAUCACAGUCCGGGACAGAAUUGCUUAACAAUGGUGACUUGUGCUAGGACUCCCCCCCACCCCCACCCCUUCGAGGCAAUGACGUGAGACUGUUCGCAGGCGGGCGGGCAAGUGUGUAAUGGGGCCCCGCUUGGCCCUUCAGGACAAAGGCUGCAAGACAGGUAGGGAGAAUGUCCCUGCCUGGCCUGGGAUCGUGGGUAGAGCCACCACUCUCUGACUCUCCCCAGUCCCCGCGGAGCUUCCAGGAGCAGAGGGCUGUGCACAUGCUCAGGAAUGAGCGCACACUGGCCCCGCAGAGGCUUUUCUGGUACUCACAUCGGCCUCCAGAUGCCUUCUCACCAGAUCCUGCCAAAUUCCUCUUACCUCCGCCCCCCAGGACUUGUCUGACGCCAGAGCAUUUCUCAAAAGGGGGAAACAGUCCCAUCGUCACCACCUCAUCACCACACCAUUACAGCCCUGGCGCGCCCUGCCUUCCAGCUGUCUUCCCCAGGGAUAUCUCUGAAGGUUUUUCCCCAGCUCCUUCCGGGGGUUGCCGGGGAGAGUGAAGUCCGGGAAUGAGAAUGGGUCGCAGGACGAGACCUUGGGCCAGUCCCUGGCCCUUUCCACUUUUCCCAUCGUCUGUGAAACAAGAAGGCUGGCUGAGGUCAUCCAUUUCCGGCGGCUCAGUCCCAGGGUUUCCUGGCUCCUGUGGGCGGCAGAGAGCCGGCCAGAUGAACACUUGUUCCUCUUUGGCAGGAGAGCACGGAGGUUAGGCGACAAGUGGCUCUGGGUUUGAAUCCUCACCUGUCCCCUCGCCAGCUACGUGAUCUUUGGCAAGGCGGACACCCUCUCUGAGCAGUUAUCCUACCUGUAAAAUUGGCAUACUAAUAACCACCAGAUGAUGCGAGUGUAGAACACAGCAAGGUGCCUGGCACUCAUGAUAUUACAAUUUUUUUCCCCAGA